GAUGAACGCUAGCUACAGGCUUAACACAUGCAAGUUGAGGGGAAACGGCAUUGAGUGCUUGCACUGAAUGGACGUCGACCGGCGCACGGGUGAGUAACGCGUAUCCAACCUACCCAUUACUGUGGGAUAACCUGCCGAAAGGCAGACUAAUACCGCAUGGUCUUCGAUGACGGCAUCAGAUUUGAAGUAAAGAUUUAUCGGUAAUGGAUGGGGAUGCGUCUGAUUAGCUUGUUGGCGGGGUAACGGCCCACCAAGGCAACGAUCAGUAGGGGUUCUGAGAGGAAGGUCCCCCACAUUGGAACUGAGACACGGUCCAAACUCCUACGGGAGGCAGCAGUGAGGAAUAUUGGUCAAUGGGCGCGAGCCUGAACCAGCCAAGUAGCGUGCAGGAUGACGGCCCUAUGGGUUGUAAACUGCUUUUGUAUGGGGAUAAAGUCAAUCACGUGUGAUUGUUUGCAGGUACCAUACGAAUAAGGACCGGCUAAUUCCGUGCCAGCAGCCGCGGUAAUACGGAAGGUCCGGGCGUUAUCCGGAUUUAUUGGGUUUAAAGGGAGCGUAGGCCGGAGAUUAAGUGUGUUGUGAAAUGUAGACGCUCAACGUCUGACUUGCAGCGCAUACUGGUUUCCUUGAGUACGCACAACGUUGGCGGAAUUCGUCGUGUAGCGGUGAAAUGCUUAGAUAUGACGAAGAACUCCGAUUGCGAAGGCAGCUGACGGGAGCGCAACUGACGCUUAAGCUCGAAGGUGCGGGUAUCGAACAGG
rnacentral:rRNA from 1 species